AGAUUGAACGCUGGCGGCAGGCCUAACACAUGCAAGUCGAGCGGUAGAGAGGUGCUUGCAUCUCUUGAGAGCGGCGGACGGGUGAGUAAUGCCUAGGAAUCUGCCUAGUGGUGGGGGAUAACGUUCGGAAACGGAC
rnacentral:rRNA from 1 species